AUUGAACGCUGGCGGCAUGCUUUACACAUGCAAGUCGGACGGCAGCACAGAGAAGCUUGCUUCUUGGGUGGCGAGUGGCGAACGGGUGAGUAACAUAUCGGAACGUACCGAGUAAUGGGGGAUAACUAAUCGAAAGAUUAGCUAAUACCGCAUAUUCUCUGAGGAGGAAAGCAGGGGACCUUCGGGCCUUGCGUUAUUCGAGCGGCCGAUAUCUGAUUAGCUAGUUGGUGGGGUAAAGGCCUACCAAGGCGACGAUCAGUAGCGGGUCUGAGAGGAUGAUCCGCCACACUGGGACUGAGACACGGCCCAGACUCCUACGGGAGGCAGCAGUGGGGAAUUUUGGACAAUGGGCGCAAGCCUGAUCCAGCCAUGCCGCGUGUCUGAAGAAGGCCUUCGGGUUGUAAAGGACUUUUGUCAGGGAAGAAAAGGCUGUUGCUAAUACCGACAGCUGAUGACG
rnacentral:rRNA from 1 species